UUACGGUCACAUCAUGUUUAAAUACAGGUUCCCUUACGAUCUCGAAGUUAAGCAACGUCGAGCCUAAUUAGUACUCAGAUGGCUGGCCGUUCGGGAAUACAAGGUGCUACAA